rnacentral:rRNA from 1 species
CAGCAGUGGGGAAUUUUGGACAAUGGGGGCAACCCUGAUCCAGCAAUGCCGCGUGAGUGAAGAAGGCCUUCGGGUUGUAAAGCUCUUUUGUCAGGGAAGAAAAGGCUGUGGCUAAUAUCCACAGCUGCUGACGGUACCUGAAGAAUAAGCACCGGCUAACUACGUGCCAGCAGCCGCGGUAAUACGUAGGGUGCAAGCGUUAAUCGGAAUUACUGGGCGUAAAGCGUGCGCAGGCGGUUUCGUAAGUCUGUCGUGAAAUCCCCGGGCUUAACCUGGGAAUGGCGAUGGAGACUGCGAGGCUAGAGUUUGGCAGAGGGGGGUAGAAUUCCACGUGUAGCAGUGAAAUGCGUAGAGAUGUGGAGGAACACCGAUGGCGAAGGCAGCCCCCUGGGUCAAAACUGACGCUCAUGCACGAAAGCGUGGGGAGCAAACAGGAUUAGA